rnacentral:lncRNA from 10 species
UGUUUAUAAAAUUUAAAUUUAUUUUCAAAAGUUAUUCUAGAAUCAUCUAAUAUGUAUCACUGAUAUUAGAAAUGUUUGGAUUUUAAAAUGGAGUGCAUUUUUCAAAAGAGAUGAUACUGUUACCUUGGCAUAUUUUAAGGAACAAACAACUAUGAGCAUUUUUCAGGUGAAUUUGUUGUAUUCAACUUGAGUGUUUGAAAGUCAUGAUUAAAGUAACCAGUGACUCUAAGGCAAACUUUAGUGCACAAUUCUUCGGAAUGCUUAACACUCCUAAAAGUAUUAUUGACUCAAGAACUGAGGUACUGAAUCACUUUUUCCUAAUCAACUGUGAAAAUUAAAUGUUAACUGCCCUUAAUAUUUUAUAUAUUUCUUUUAUGUGCAAGAGACGAAAAAAUGGUUAAACAUUGGUGCAAGAAUAGAAGAGAUCAAUACUCUAGAUCAUCUAGGCCACAAUUUUUGUUUGUUUCCAGAUAAAAUCAAACAGGGCUUGGUUCAAUAAUCAAUGAAAAAUUUUUAUUAUUUGUCAUCUCUAUAUUCUCUGAUAAACUGAGAUCACACACAGACACACUGAAGGUGUUAAUGAUAUAGUCAAAGGUACCCAAGAACUUUAUCUUAAUCACUCAUUUAUUCAUUCAUUCAUUUUUAUUCAAUAGGGAUUGAACAUGCUCCCUGUGGGAAGUGAAAAUUGAACUUCAGAGUUGCUAAUACAUGAUUAAUUUACAUCUAUGUCAAAUCCUAAAUAUUUUCCACAUAAACAAGCAAUGAUGCAAAGCACUCAUUCUCGGUUGAAGUCUGAUGAGGAUUUGAAGCGCAACAGUGCUUGGCAGAGCACCAACAUGCCUCCUCUUUUCAUGAAACCAGCUAUGCCUACAUCCACAGGUGAUAUAUUCUGCUCAGAAAAAUAAGACCUUGGUAAGCCAGGUGAAUUGUGGAAACAGAAAUUUGAAAUCCUGAAACGGGAGUAUGUAGACUACAAAGAGAAACAAGAAAAGACCAUUUUGAACAUGGAGUGUCAGAGCAUAAAAAGAUGAAACAGGAAAUGAAAGUGAAAUUAAAGAUUAAAAGAAAAUGACUGGAAUCCAGGGUUUGAAAAUCCAAGGAGACACAGUUUUAAAACAUACAAAAGUUUACAAUAUUGAAUGCUGUAGAAAUUGAUAUAUGUUAUUGUAAAUUCAGCUGAUUUGCUUAGGUCAUUGUUUGUUCUUAAUUGAUCAGUUUAUUGAGUAUUUUAGCAAAAUAUUUUUGGAAACUGGUCAACUAAAGUGUAGCAAAUGCUGAGCUGGAAAUUCUUACUUUUCUACUGACUUUGUAAAGUUGUUGAGUUUAUGAAUUUGUUCCCUGAUUUUCAAAAUAAUAUACAUAAUACUUAUCCUACUAAAUUAUUUAUGUG